CCCGCCCGGUGGAGCAUGUGGUUUAAUUCGAAGCAACGCGAAGAACCUUACCCAGGUCUGCAUCCUCUGACAAUCCUAGAGAUAGGACGUCCCCCUUCGGGGGCAGAGUGACAGGUGGUGCAAAAAUCAGCUCGUGUCGUGAGAUGUUGGGUUAAGUCCCGCAACGAGCGCAACCCUUGAUCUUAGUUGCCAGCAUUCAGUUGGGCACUCUAAGGUGACUGCCGGUGACAACCGGAGGAAGGUGGGGAUGACGUCAAAUCAUCAUGCCCCUUAUGACCUGGGCUACACACGUGCUACAAUGGACAGAACAAAGGGCAGGAAACCGCGAGGUUAAG
rnacentral:rRNA from 2 species